rnacentral:rRNA from 1 species
CGGGACGGGUGAGUAAUGUCUGGGAAACUGCCUGAUGGAGGGGGAUAACUACUGGAAACGGUAGCUAAUACCGCAUAACGUCGCAAGACCAAAGAGGGGACCUUCGGGCCUCUUGCCAUCGGAUGUGCCCAGAUGGGAUUAGCUAGUAGGUGGGGUAAAGGCUCACCUAGGCGACGAUCCCUAGCUGGUCUGAGAGGAUGGCCAGCCACACUGGAACUGAGACACGGUCCAG